UGAAAACCAGAGCUAUAUUUAAAAAAAAAAAUUCAGAACUUUAAAAAGUUUGCUUUUAGUUUAUUCUUAGAAAUGCUAAAUGGUUUGUAAAGGACAGAAGGGACUGUUGUAAUAGUUUCUGAAACAGUAUGUGCAUCCUAUAUGACGUGGUAGUCAUUUUAAACUUUUAAGAAUAUAAACUCUUCAGUGAAGGGGCUGUCUUUUACUAUGAGUUUGCACAGAGUCUAGUACAAUGUAGCUCUGAUCUUGGCUGGAACUUCUAGGCACUAUUGUAAUAUAAAUAAUACGAGUAUUAUGAAUUCUAGUUGGUGUCAGUUGAAUAGUUACAUUAUAGUACAACUAUAGAACUGGAUUCAUACCCACAUACCACUGAGAGCUCUCAGUAUUGGAAUACAAGGAGAAAUGAUUAUCUUGGCUGUGUAGUCAGUUAACAUAUUCUAAAAUUUAUGGUUUAUGGUAACUAUAUUUUCUAUUCCAUGUGACCUGGGGGAAGAGAACCAGGAAGAUAUAGACAAUGUGGAGGACCUUAUACUGAGCUUUUCUGCUGAAGCCCCAGAGUCCCUGCUUUGUAAAAGCAGAUAUUGGCAGAUCUGCAAUGAGCUCAUGCACCUGUCUCUUGAAUGUUCUGCUAUUCUCAUCAACACUUGAAGAAGAAAGGAAACAGCAUUGGACAGAGGGGAGAUCCUGACUGAAGGAUUCAGCCAGUAAGCCUGUUGGAACUUAUGCUACAGAUGCUGCAGUGUUUCUACUUCCAUGGUUUAAGUGACAAUGGGUCAAAACUGUUGAAAAUCCAGCAGCUAUCUGCCCACGAACACAUAAGUGCAUCAC